UACGAAGGGGGCUAGCGUUGCUCGGAAUCACUGGGCGUAAAGGGUGCGUAGGCGGCCAACUAAGUCAUACGUGAAAUCCCUCAGCUUAACUGGGGAACUGCGUGUGAUACUGGAUGGCUUGGAUGUGGGAGAGGGAUGCGGAAUUCCAGGUGUAGCGGUGAAAUGCGUAGAUAUCUGGAGGAACACCGGUGGCGAAGGCGGCAUCCUGGACCAUUAUUGACGCUGAGGAGCGAAAGCCAGGGGAGCAAACGGG
rnacentral:rRNA from 1 species